UACGUAGGGGGGCAAGCGUUGUCCGGAAUCAUUGGGCGUAAAGCGCGUGUAGGCGGCCCGGUAAGUCCGCUGUGAAAGUCCAGGGCUCAACCCUGGAAUGCCGGUGGAUACUGUCGGGCUCGAGUCCGGAAGAGGCGAGUGGAAUUCCCGGUGUAGCGGUGAAAUGCGCAGAUAUCGGGAGGAACACCUAUGGCGAAGGCAGCUCGCUGGGACGUUACUGACGCUGAGACGCGAAAGCGUGGGGAGCAAACAGG
rnacentral:rRNA from 1 species